rnacentral:lncRNA from 1 species
UUCUUCGGAAUGAUUCAUCAUCAACAGAAAAUCAAGAACAUGCUCCCUGAUAACAGUCCCGCCCCUUUCCUUCAACUCAACACCACCAGAACUUGGACUUUCCACAAUGGGAACCUCUGAGAGAAGAGACUCAUUUACUGGGGAGAAACCCAAUCUUGGAACACGGCCUAGUGACACCGUGAUCACAGAAUUCUCGGUAACUCUUGCUGCAAUUCUAAAUGUAAAUUUACUGGA